rnacentral:rRNA from 1 species
GGGGUUGGCCCAGAUCGUUUACCGUGAAAAAAUUAGAGUGUUCAAAGCAGGCAGAUCCAAUUUUCUGCCACCGAAUACAUUAGCAUGGGAUAAUGGAAUAGGACCCUGUCCUCCUAUUUUCAGUUGGUUUUGGCAGCGCGAGGACUAGGGUAAUGAUUAAUAGGGAUAGUUGGGGGCAUUAAUA